GAAUGAACCCUUUGUGUGGAAGAUACGCGGCCACUGCUCGACACUAAUCUGCUUGAGCGACUAUCAGUAGGUUCACCAGAAGAGCUCGGUCUGCUACUUGAAAUGGCAGCCCUUCUGGAUGAGCUACCAUUUCUUGAGGUAUCAUUCAAAAUUCCGAUGGUUCGGUUGAUCUUAAAUUUCUGGACUCCAGACCUCGUAGAAGUUUGGCCGCUGAGCUACCAUUUCUUGAGGUACGGCCUCUUUCUGAAUCAAAUUGCUGUAAAAUUAUAAGGAUAUUAUUCUUGCUAGUUUGCCAAACAACUGAUAUUCAAAAAAAAGCAAAAAUAUAUCAACUGUUAAGAUAAUAUUUCUACUACGCUUUCACUGGAAAAAACAAUCAUCUUAAAGACACAAGCAAAUCAAUCGCCUGAGAUAUUUUUUCUGUUUUUUCCAUUGCUUUUAGAAAGAGAAGGGAUC
rnacentral:lncRNA from 1 species